rnacentral:misc_RNA from 1 species
UUGAUCUUUCUCUCACGCGCUGUCAACAUUUCUCCUCGGCGAUUUCCGGCGACGAUCCGAUUUUCCGGCGAUAUCCAACCGUAGAGAACAGAGACAUCCUGCUUCCCUUCGUCUUGGAUCAGUCGACUUCUUCGUUUCGCAAAAUCAUGAAUCCCGAAUAUGAUUAUUUGUUCAAACUUUUGUUAAUAGGAGAUUCAGGUGUUGGAAAGUCAUGUCUUCUCCUGAGAUUUGCCGAUGAUUCUUAUUUGGACAGCUACAUCAGCACAAUUGGUGUUGACUUUAAAAUACGUACUGUGGAGCAAGAUGGGAAGACUAUUAAACUUCAAAUUUAGUUUUUGUUUCUGUCAUCAUGCAUUUUCAAAGUGAAAUUUAAAGUCCUCGUCUGUGUUACAUUUGCCAGUGGGA